AUACGGAGGAUGCGAGCGUUAUCCGGAUUCAUUGGGUUUAAAGGGUGCGUAGGUUGCCGAUUAAGUCAGCGGUGAAAGUCAGUGGCUCAACCAUUGAAAUGCCGUUGAAACUGUCGGACUUGAGUGUAAAUGAGGUAGGCGGAAUGCGUGGUGUAGCGGUGAAAUGCAUAGAUAUCACGCAGAACUCCGAUUGCGAAGGCAGCUUACUAAGCUACAACUGACACUGAAGCACGAAAGCGUGGGGAUC
rnacentral:rRNA from 1 species